GACGAACCGUACGAACGUUAUUCGGAAUCACUGGGCUUAAAGGGUGCGUAGGCUGCGCAGAAAGUUGGGUGUGAAAUCCCUCGGCUCAACCGAGGAACUGCGCCCAAAACUACUGUGCUCGAGGGAGACAGAGGUGAGCGGAACUUAGGGUGGAGCGGUGAAAUGCGUUGAUAUCCUAAGGAACACCAGUGGCGAAGGCGGCCACCUGGCUCGGUACUGACGCUCAGGUUCGAAAGCGUGGGGAGCAAACAGG
rnacentral:rRNA from 1 species